UGGGGAAUAUUGCACAAUGGGCGCAAGCCUGAUGCAGCCAUGCCGCGUGUAUGAAGAAGGCCUUCGGGUUGUAAAGUACUUUCAGUCGGGAGGAAGGUGUCAAGGUUAAUAACCUUGGCAAUUGACGUUACCGACAGAAGAAGCACCGGCUAACUCCGUGCCAGCAGCCGCGGUAAUACGGAGGGUGCAAGCGUUAAUCGGAAUUACUGGGCGUAAAGCGCACGCAGGCGGUUGAUUGAGUCAGAUGUGAAAUCCCCGGGCUUAACCCGGGAAUUGCAUCUGAUACUGGUCAGCUAGAGUCUUGUAGAGGGGGGUAGAAUUCCAUGUGUAGCGGUGAAAUGCGUAGAGAUGUGGAGGAAUACCGGUGGCGAGGGCGGCCCCCUGGACAAAGACUGACGCUCAGGUGCGAAAGAGUGGGGAGCAAACAGG
rnacentral:rRNA from 1 species